rnacentral:rRNA from 1 species
UGCAGUAGAACGCUGAAGAGAGGAGCUUGCUCUUCUUGGAUGAGUUGCGAACGGGUGAGUAACGCGUAGGUAACCUGCCUUGUAGCGGGGGAUAACUAUUGGAAACGAUAGCUAAUACCGCAUAACAAUGGAUGACACAUGUCAUUUAUUUGAAAGGGGCAAUUGCUCCACUACAAGAUGGACCUGCGUUGUAUUAGCUAGUAGGUGAGGUAAUGGCUCACCUAGGCGACGAUACAUAGCCGACCUGAGAGGGUGAUCGGCCACACUGGGACUGAGACACGGCCCAGACUCCUACGGGAGGCAGCAGUAGGGAAUCUUCGGCAAUGGGGGCAACCCUGACCGAGCAACGCCGCGUGAGUGAAGAAGGUUUUCGGAUCGUAAAGCUCUGUUGUAAGUCAAGAACGGGUGUGAGAGUGGAAAGUUCACACUGUGACGGUAGCUUACCAGAAAGGGACGGCUAACUACGUGCCAGCAGCCGCGGUAAUACGUAGGUCCCGAGCGUUGUCCGGAUUUAUUGGGCGUAAAGCGAGCGCAGGCGGUUUGAUAAGUCUGAAGUUAAAGGCUGUGGCUCAACCAUAGUUCGCUUUGGAAACUGUCAAACUUGAGUGCAGAAGGGGAGAGUGGAAUUCCAUGUGUAGCGGUGAAAUGCGUAGAUAUAUGGAGGAACACCGGUGGCGAAAGCGGCUCUCUGGUCUGUAACUGACGCUGAGGCUCGAAAGCGUGGGGAGCGAACAGGAUUAGAUACCCUGGUAGUCCACGCCGUAAACGAUGAGUGCUAGGUGUUGGAUCCUUUCCGGGAUUCAGUGCCGCAGCUAACGCAUUAAGCACUCCGCCUGGGGAGUACGACCGCAAGGUUGAAACUCAAAGGAAUUGACGGGGGCCCGCACAAGCGGUGGAGCAUGUGGUUUAAUUCGAAGCAACGCGAAGAACCUUACCAGGUCUUGACAUCCCGAUGCUAUUUCUAGAGAUAGAAAGUUACUUCGGUACAUCGGUGACAGGUGGUGCAUGGUUGUCGUCAGCUCGUGUCGUGAGAUGUUGGGUUAAGUCCCGCAACGAGCGCAACCCCUAUUGUUAGUUGCCAUCAUUCAGUUGGGCACUCUAGCGAGACUGCCGGUAAUAAACCGGAGGAAGGUGGGGAUGACGUCAAAUCAUCAUGCCCCUUAUGACCUGGGCUACACACGUGCUACAAUGGUUGGUACAACGAGUUGCGAGUCGGUGACGGCGAGCUAAUCUCUUAAAGCCAAUCUCAGUUCGGAUUGUAGGCUGCAACUCGCCUACAUGAAGUCGGAAUCGCUAGUAAUCGCGGAUCAGCACGCCGCGGUGAAUACGUUCCCGGGCCUUGUACACACCGCCCGUCACACCACGAGAGUUUGUAACACCCGAAGUCGGUGAGGUAACCUUUUGAGCCAGCCGCGUAAGGUGAUC